CGGAAGGAGUUGGAAGUGAGCAAAGUAUUUCGUUAUGGAGAUAACGUAACCUUGAGGUGUAAAGAUGGGUAUACUUUGGAAGGCAGUCCCUGGAGCCAGUGCCAGGCAGAUGACACAUGGGACCCUCCUCUGGCCACAUGCACACCUCGCUCACAUAAUGGUUUCAUUGUUGGCAUGUCCUUUGGUGUGCCCAUCUUUAUUGUAUCCAUCCUUAUUUCCUG